ACGCAAACGUGCGUAAUAACCGCCUGAUGCCCCGCGAGAUCAGAAACGGUCUUUCAGCUAUGCCUAAAACAAAACCUUUCUCGAAGGCGAGGGCUCCACUGAAAAAGAGGAGGUGCGUACUGUACACAAGACGGAGAUAAUGACGUCACGGUGCUGUAGCGAAGAAACGGAUCUGAAGAUAGGCUGGAGAAGGCCUGAGAGAGGACGCACGCCAUCGCUUGGCAACCAGACUAAAGGAUGCCUGUUGCGAGGAUGCUGGGACCAUCGCAGAGCAACAUUAUUAGAAAGAUGCUUGACUAUAUAUUGAUUAUGUGGUUGUUUUUAUGUUAGUCUUGGUCUACACCUCAGAGUUGCCUACUGCCUACAGUCCAGAUUGUCUGUUGUCUGCAUUCAGCUCAACUUGACAAUACCAUCUUUGCUUACAAACUUUUUCUACAAUGUGUUAAGUCGCUAAUAGUAGCCUUCGUGUUACCUUUUAGUUAUAGAAAGUUAUUUUAGAUAAGAGUGCAGAUUGUAAGGAUAGUUAGCGCUUACCCCAGUUUCUAACUUGAAAAAUCUGUAAGGAAUUGGAGGACGGACUUCUAGAAAAGAAGAUCUUCAACUCUGGCGUGGGUCAUAUAUACCUGCCGGUGAGAUCCCAAAACCUGCGCUGAACCUGUAUACAUGCUUAGAACACCUUUAGGACACAUAAAUCGAAUUUGCUGUAUAUUUGCUUUGCUGUAUAAUAAACACCUUCUUGCCUUUUAUAUAUCACUUUGUGCUCA